UACGUAGGCAGCGAGCGUUGUUCGGAAUUACUGGGCGUAAAGAGUGUGUAGGCGGUGCUCUAAGUUCGGUGUGAAAUCUCCUGCUUAACUGGGAGGGUGCGCCGGAAACUGGGGUGCUCGAGCGUGGGAGAGGAAAGCGGAAUUCCUGGUGUAGCGGUGAAAUGCGUAGAUAUCGGAGGAACACCAGUGGCGAAGGCGACUUCCUGGCCUGUUCUUGACGCUGAGGCGCGAAAGCUAGGGUAGCAAACGGG
rnacentral:rRNA from 1 species